AGGACGACGCUGGCGGCGUGCUUAACACAUGCAAGUCAAACGGUAAGGCCUUUCGGGGUACACGAGUGGCGAACGGGUGAGUAACACGUGGGUGAUCUGCCCUGCACUUUGGGAUAAGCCUGGGAAACUGGGUCUAAUACCGAAUAGGACCAUGGACUUCACGGUUUGUGGUGGAAAGCUUUUGCGGUGUGGGAUGGGCCCGCGGCCUAUCAGCUUGUUGGUGGGGUAAUGGCCUACCAAGGCGACGACGGGGUAGCCGGCCUGAGAGGGUGACCGGCCACACUGGGGCUGAGAUACGGCCCAGACUCCUACGGGAGGCAGCAGUGGGGAAUAUUGCACAAUGGGCGCAAGCCUGAUGCAGCGACGCCGCGUGAGGGAUGACGGCCUUCGGGUUGUAAACCUCUUUCAGCACAGACGAAGCGCAAGUGACGGUAUGUGCAGAAGAAGGACCGGCCAACUACGUG
rnacentral:rRNA from 1 species